rnacentral:rRNA from 1 species
CGACCUGAGAUCAGACGAGAUUACCCGCUGAAUUUAAGCAUAUCAAUAAGGCGGAGGAAUAUA